UACGUAGGGGGCAAGCGUUGUCCGGAUUCAUUGGGCGUAAAGAGCGUGUAGGCGGUUCGGUAGGUCCGUUGUGAAAACUCGAGGCUCAACCUCGAGACGCCGAUGGAAACCCCCGAACUAGAGUCCGGAAGAGGAGAGUGGAAUUCCCGGUGUAGCGGUGAAAUGCGCAGAUAUCGGGAAGAACACCCGUGGCUAAGGCGGCUCUCUAGUACGGUACUGACGCUGAGGUGCGAAAGCGUGGGGAGCAAACAGG
rnacentral:rRNA from 1 species